rnacentral:rRNA from 1 species
UACGGGGGGGGGCAAGCGUUGUUCGGAAUUACUGGGCGUAAAGGGCUCGUAGGUGGCCAACUAAGUCAGACGUGAAAUCCCUCGGCUUAACCGGGGAACUGCGUCUGAUACUGGAUGGCUAGAGAUUGGGAGAGGGAUGCGGAAUUCCAGGUGUAGCGGUGAAAUGCGUAGAUAUCUGGAGGAACACCGGUGGCGAAGGCGGCAUCCUGGACCAACACUGACGCUGAGGUGCGAAAGCGUGGGGAGCAAACAGGGAUUAAGAUACCGGGUAG